AGAGCUCUUGACAUCCUUGGACCACCCUAGAGAUACGGUGUUCCCUUCGGGGACCAAGUGACAGGUGGUGCAUGGUUGUCGUCAGCUCGUGUCGUGAGAUGUUGGGUUAAGUCCCGCAACGAGCGCAACCCUUGAUCUUAGUUGCCAGCAUUUAGUUGGGCACUCUAAGGUGACUGCCGGUGACAAACCGGAGGAAGGUGGGGAUGACGUCAAAUCAUCAUGCCCCUUAUGACCUGGGCUACACACGUGCUACAAUGGAUGGAACAAAGGGAAGCAAAACCGCGAGGUGAAGCAAAUCCCAUAAAACCAUUCUCAGUUCGGAUUGCAGGCUGCAACUCGCCUGCAUGAAGCCGGAAUCGCUAGUAAUCGCGGAUCAGCAUGCCGCGGUGAAUACGUUCCCGGGUCUUGUACACACCGA
rnacentral:rRNA from 1 species